GCCGGCCAGUCCCGACCCCGCGCCCCGCCCCUCGCUUCGCUCCAGGCCCCAUCACCUCACCUGGGUGGCCUUCCCCCACAGACUCGGAGGUGAAGAGGAACGUGCCCUCCUCGAUGAACGCGUCGUGGAAGCCGUUGAGCUGCCCGUUCAUGGUGGUGGCGAGAUCCCCGUUGGCCUUACUUAGGCCAGAAGACAACGGAGCCUGUUGAUGUCUAUACAGGUUCACCUGGUCAUGGAGAAGACAGCACACACACCUGCCAAGAAGAGCCCACAGUUGCUGAGUGAGGACUGUUGAGAACAGCAUCUCAGGAGUCUGGUUGUGGGAGUGACCACCGAGCCAUGGGGCAGGUGGAAAAGGAGGAGAGGACCUUCUAGAGGCCGUUGACUAUCGAGUAUUUAUAAGGGAAUUUGUGCCCAGGCCAAGCUGGAUGUGGGGAAGGGGCUGGAAUCAGGACCCAGGCUUCCUUGGCCAACUAUUUCAGGCAAAUAAGAAACUUGACCGAGCUAUGUGAUCCUUAUAAAACCUUAGACGAUUUGGGAGCCAGUAAGAAGACGAAGUCUAACAGAUGUGGUUUUGGAUUAGCUGCUGACCUAAUAGUUGGUACCAUAUUAUAUGGUAUCAAAGUAUAAAUGUGAUACCACAACCCUACUACCAGCUGUGACAUCUUUGGGUAACUGACCCUAGUGUGUGCUAUUUCCUCCACGAAUAUGUGAGCUGAAAGAUUCAGCCAUUACAUCUAUGUGGUUGCCUCCAAAGACCCCAGCCCCGCCUGACCUUUCUGGUGACUCUAGACCCACACAUCCACCUGCUUGAGGGAAAGUUUCACGUUGCUGUCAGACCAAUGCUGGCCCCAAAGUUCAACACUCCACACUGACCUCAUCGUUCUUCCAGGCUUGAAACCUAGGAUCUAUUUUUCACUCCUGCCUCUCCCUUGGCACAGUUAAUCCCCACAGCGGAGUCACCCGCUGCUGCUAGUGGCUUUCACACUCGUCACAUUGUAAAUGGCUGUGAGACGCAGUGGGUAUGUGACCUGUCACACAGACCAGGCAGAAUGGGUCCCCACCUGGAAUAGGCUGGCGUCGGUAUAGAAGUCCAUUGCAAACAUCAAAAGUGGUGUGUGGGGCUUCCCUGGUGGCGCAGUGGUUGAGCGUCCGCCUGCCGAUGCAGGGGACACGGGUUCGUGACCCAGUCCGGGGGGAUCCCACGUGCCGCGGA